CCUACGGGUGGCAGCAGUGAGGAAUAUUGGUCAAUGGCCGGAAGGCUGAACCAGCCAUGCCGCGUGAAGGUCAGUGCCCUAUGGGCGUUAAACUUCUUUUGUGCGGGAGCAAUAAUUGUCACGUGUGGCCAGACGAGAGUACCGUACGAAUAAGCAUCGGCUAACUCCGUGCCAGCAGCCGCGGUAAUACGGGGGAUGCAAGCGUUAUCCGGAUUUAUUGGGUUUAAAGGGUGCGUAGGCUGUGAGGUAAGUCAGCGGUGAAAUGCCCCCGCUCAACGGGGUGAAGUGCCAUUGAUACUGCCUGGCUGGAAUGCGGAUGCGGUGGGAGGAAUGUGUGGUGUAGCGGUGAAAUGCAUAGAUAUCACACAGAACACCGAUUGCGAAGGCAUCUCACGAAUCCGCGAUUGACGCUGAUGCACGAAAGCGUGGGUAUCAAACAGGAUUAGAUACCCUAGUAGUC
rnacentral:rRNA from 1 species